UGCAGCAGCUUCAGCUGAUCAAGGGCCAGUCCAGCUCCCCUCAUGCCUUCUCCUCCGAUAUGAGGUUCCUUUGCAAGUGACACAGAAAAGCAAAUUACUGCAUCAGUAAAAAGUUCCUGGUUUCCUACAUGUACUCCUCUAAGGCUAUGCAGAGCUGCCUACCUCUUAAUGCGGCCAAGCUAGAUUUGUAUCUGUCACACUGGAGGGGGAAAGUUGGAAAUCAUGUGGCCCUGCUUUUCUUGUCUUAACAUGGCAGCUGUGUGUAUGAGUACAUGCACCAGACCCACAGACUGCUGAGGAGGUGGUGGUGGGGUCAAGCCCCUUUAGCCCAGUAGUUUAGUGAUUGGGGCACUUAGUGAGGACAGGUACAUACACAGAUCCAAAUCAUUUCAUCGCCCAAGAAUGAAAUCACCUUCAUCAUGAGAAAGCUGUUAUCACCAGCCAAUAUGUCUGAAAGGUUUUUUUUUUUUUUUUUUUUUUCACUUUUAAGUGUUGAAGCUCUUCUGUAUACUAAUAGCUCUAAGUUGUCAAAACCAGUGAUCCCUUAGUCACUAAUACACCUAGUAACAGUAGUAGAAAUAUCUGGAUUCUUUACCUUAUAAAGUUCAACUGGAGAGACUGAAAGUGCCACUCCAGAAUACUGCCUAAAGAGGCAGCAUUUUGGAAGAUGAUGAUGCUGCAGAAAAAAGUCUGAGCAUCGGGUUUUCUAUGUUAUGUAAUUAGACUAAUGGGUAAAUGAAAAUACUGAUACCACCCCUUACAUGUGCAUAUGACAGAGUAAGAAAGAAAAGAAUAGCUUUAGUGUUCUUCAAUUUAGGAGAGGACAUUUAGCAUCAAAAUCCUAGAGAAGAGCUGUGUUUAAAGACACAGCCAUCUUCUGAUUAUGUUUUUUUUUUUUUUUUUUUUUUUUUUUUAAUAAAUAUGGUGAUUCGUGGAAAAAUCUAAUUCUUAGCUGGGUCAUUCCUCCAAGAAUUCAAGAGAAAAAAAAAGCCAUAAACGUAAUAUCAAAAGAAAUAUCUCCUUUGUAAAUCUAGUCUGGUGUAGUCUAUAAUGCAGCAGAGCAGAGAAUUUUUGAGCCCUCAGACUUUGCUGACACACAAGCUCACCCAGACAGCACAUGAUGCGAGCUAAUUGCUUAACCAUGUACUGUGCUCUAAAGCUGGGCAGCUGAGAGGCUGCAGCCUGAGUCUUCUCUUGCUUUCCCUCAACAGGAUUUCAGUGCUUUCCAGGUAAGAGACAAAAGGAGGUGCCUGUAGCAAACUGAGAAAACACACAAAGGGAGACAAGGGGUAGUGACUUAAGCAAUGAAAUUGAAGGAUGGAAAGGUAAAAGACUACCAAAAAUAUUACAAAAGGUGAAGUGACUUGCUCAUUCAAAGACCAAUUUUUUCCUCUACCUUCUUUUUCCUUCCAGUUCAGUUACUGCAUUUAAGCUGAUACACAGUUAUCUCCUGUGUGUAAAUCCCUGAGAGGCAGUAAGUCUGCACAAAGGAUCGACUGCCAUGCAGUAACCUCCACCUAUGAGAUCAACACCAAUGGCUCCAUCUCCUGUUUUGCCUUGCACAACAUGAUUCCAGGACCCGUUGCAAAAGUGAGAACAUGGGAAACAGUGGACUGGGUAAAGCAGGUGUCCACUGAGAGACUACAGAACAUGGGAAAUAAAUGAAGGACCAUGAGGUAAAAUGUGUAAUCUCAGCUGAAACAGAUUGAAUUGAAAAAUACUGAGAAGAAAUAGAUGGAAAGUUUAGAUUUGUACCAACAGGCAGAAGAACCCUGACAUACAAAAUCUUCCAAGAAAAACUUAAGUUCUCUCAAAUCUUUAGCAGCCUUCCUAUAAUUUCUCAUUGUAUACCAAUUGUGUAUUUUUUUAAUUUCAGUUAAAAUAUGCAUCUAAACUUCUUAAGACAAGUCAUUACAGAAUUACAAGUUAAACAAGUACCAGAUUUAGGCUUUUCCCCAAAGCCUUGAUGAUUAACAACUAACCCGCUCCAACACAUCACAAUAGCAAAAGAGAAGAGAGCCACAUAUGGUCUGAUAAUAAACUAUUCUGAGGUACUAAUAAAAGUGAUAUAUUUUUGAAAUGUAUACAUCAUAGAUAAAAAUUCUAGCAUCUCCCUAUAUACUACGUACCUAGACACCUUUAUGUUAGACAUUGGCUCCAGAAAAGACAAGGUACAGUCUUGGGACACUGAGCCUGAAAUAAAUUUAUUCCCUCAUUCUUGAAGUAACACAAAGAUGGCUCUCAUACAUAUAAAAUCCUCCUUUCUCAAAGUACCACAUUCUUCCAAUUUAUUUCCAAUGCUUUAUGUAAGUCUUCACUACUUCAGGAGCUUUAAUAAAAAAACUACUUCACCUUUACUAUUAACGUGCAGA